rnacentral:rRNA from 1 species
AGCGAACGCUGGCGGCAGGCUUAACACAUGCAAGUCGAGCGGGCACCUUCGGGUGUCAGCGGCGGACGGGUGAGUAACGCGUGGGAACGUGCCUUCUGGUACGGAAUAACCCUGGGAAACUAGGGCUAAUACCGGAUACGCCCUUUUGGGGAAAGGUUUACUGCCGGAAGAUCGGCCCGCGUCUGAUCAGCUAGUUGGUGGGGUAACGGCCUACCAAGGCGUCGAUCAGUAGCUGGUCUGAGAGGAUGAUCAGCCACACUGGGACUGAGACACGGCCCAGACUCCUACGGGAGGCAGCAGUGGGGAAUAUUGGACAAUGGGCGCAAGCCUGAUCCAGCUAUGCCGCGUGAGUGAUGAAGGCCUUAGGGUUGUAAAGCUCUUUUAUCCGGAACGAUAAUGACGGUACCGGAGGAAUAAGCCCCGGCUAACUUCGUGCCAGCCGCCGCCGUAA